rnacentral:rRNA from 1 species
AGUCGACGAUGAGCCUUUCGGGGUGGAUUAGUGGCGAACGGGUGAGUAACACGUGGGCAAUCUGCCCUUCACUCUGGGACAAGCCCUGGAAACGGGGUCUAAUACCGGAUAACACCUUCCACCGCAUGGUGGGGGGUUGAAAGCUCCGGCGGUGAAGGAUGAGCCCGCGGCCUAUCAGCUUGUUGGUGGGGUGAUGGCCUACCAAGGCGACGACGGGUAGCCGGCCUGAGAGGGCGACCGGCCACACUGGGACUGAGACACGGCCCAGACUCCUACGGGAGGCAGCAGUGGGGAAUAUUGCACAAUGGGCGAAAGCCUGAUGCAGCGACGCCGCGUGAGGGAUGACGGCCUUCGGGUUGUAAACCUCUUUCAGCAGGGAAGAAGCGAAAGUGACGGUACCUGCAGAAGAAGCGCCGGCUAACUACGUGCCAGCAGCCGCGGUAAUACGUAGGGCGCAAGCGUUGUCCGGAAUUAUUGGGCGUAAAGAGCUCGUAGGCGGCUUGUCGCGUCGGAUGUGAAAGCCCGGGGCUUAACCCCGGGUCUGCAUUCGAUACGGGCAGGCUAGAGUGUGGUAGGGGAGAUCGGAAUUCCUGGUGUAGCGGUGAAAUGCGCAGAUAUCAGGAGGAACACCGGUGGCGAAGCGGAUCUCUGGGCCAUUACUGACGCUGAGGAGCGAAAGCGUGGGGAGCGAACAGGAUUAGAUACCCUGGUAGUCCACGCCGUAAACGUUGGGAACUAGGUGUUGGCGACAUUCCACGUCGUCGGUGCCGCAGCUAAC